GCUGUCCUCCGUCCGCAGGGACUACCCGUUCAAAUAGAGGAAUGACAAAUACUUAGAUUUAAUGGUCACAAAGGACCCCGCAGAUUUGUUCUCCGCUAAUUACAUUAAAGUGGAACAGUUGCAGAGCACAGCUACAUAGGUGGGCACUACUGUUCCUCUCCUGAACAGAGUGCAUACUCUCCUUUAAAAUGACGAUCUUACCCAAACUAAUGUUGCCUCCAUCCUAUU